rnacentral:rRNA from 1 species
AACGAACGCUGGCGGCAGGCCUAACACAUGCAAGUCGAGCGAACCCUUCGGGGUUAGCGGCGGACGGGUUAGUAACGCGUGGGAAUAUACCCUUUGGUACGGAAUAGCCUCGGGAAACUGAGAGUAAUACCGUAUGUGCCCUUCGGGGGAAAGAUUUAUCGCCAAAGGAUUAGCCCGCGUUGGAUUAGAUAGUUGGUGGGGUAAUGGCCUACCAAGUCUACGAUCCAUAGCUGGUUUGAGAGGAUGAUCAGCAACACUGGGACUGAGACACGGCCCAGACUCCUACGGGAGGCAGCAGUGGGGAAUCUUAGACAAUGGGCGCAAGCCUGAUCUAGCCAUGCCGCGUGGACGAUGAAGGCCUUAGGGUUGUAAAGUCCUUUCAGAUGGGAAGAUAAUGACGGUACCAUCAGAAGAAGCCCCGGCUAACUCCGUGCCAGCAGCCGCGGUAAUGU